UGGGUAUCCUCGAUUUCAAGCCUUCUUGAAAAAAAAGACAUGAUUCCAAAGCAAAAAGUCGAAGUUUGAUUAUCCAGUGAGAUUAACAAGUUUCUAAAAGAAGCUUUAGAUGUUCGGUAUAUACUUAGCGACAAAGGUGGUUGCGAUUCUUGAAGUACUUGGGGCAUGCAGAGGUCAAGAAUGUAACAUGACGGUUGGUAAUUUUAAAGAUGUUGGACAGACCAUUCACAAUUGAAAGUGUCUAUUACAAAACUAUAAAAAAAUACGCUGAUCUUCGACCAAAUGAAAUGGAUACCGAUGGGUUAUUUCUAAAUUACCCAAGUGGGAAAUGCUUUCGGCAAGUCAUCGGCAAAAAUAAAAUUGCUCAAUGCCCGAAGUAAAUUGCUCAGUAUACUUCAUGCUAGCUAAUCCAUCAAGAUAUACUGGUCAUAGUUUCAGACGAACUUCAGCAACGCUACUUGCGGAUUCUGAUCAGUUGACUAAGUUCUUUAAUUCUUCAAUACAUUCAAAUCUGCAAGUGUCUUGUAAACAAGGAAAGUAAAAAAAAUCUAUUACUCUGAUGACGAGUUCUGAUUCUCUCGAACUUUAAGAAGGACAUACAUUGAAUCAAUCUUCUGAACCACUUGGAAAAAAAGUUUAUAAUUUUUAUAAUUGUACUAUGGUACAAUUAAUAUAUUAAUUCAGUUAAUUGAUUCACAAAAACUCUAAUAUUUAUAAUUUGAAAAAUUCAUAAAAUACAAAAAAUCAAAUUAAUAAAUUUUGUUCAAUUUCCCGCACCAUCAACCUGAAAUAAACGCGUUUCUAACUGGCUGCUGACACUGAAACUUGAAGUUCCGAUGCAGGU